rnacentral:rRNA from 1 species
AUUGAACGCUGGCGGCAUGCCUUACACAUGCAAGUCGAACGGCAGCGGGGGCUUCGGUCCGCCGGCGAGUGGCGAACGGGUGAGUAAUGUAUCGGAACGUACCAUUCAGUGGGGGAUAACUAUCCGAAAGGAUAGCUAAUACCGCAUAUUCUGUGAGCAGGAAAGCAGGGGAUCGCAAGACCUUGCGCUGAUUGAGCGGCCGAUAUCAGAUUAGCUAGUUGGUGAGGUAACGGCUCACCAAGGCUACGAUCUGUAGCGGGUCUGAGAGGAUGAUCCGCCACACUGGGACUGAGACACGGACCAGACUCCUACGGGAGGCAGCAGUGGGGAAUUUUGGACAAUGGGCGCAAGCCUGAUCCAGCCAUGCCGCGUAAGUGAAGAAGGCCUUCGGGUUGUAAAGCUCUUUCGGCCGGGAAGAAAUCGCAUCAGCUAAUACCUGGUGUGGAUGACGGUACCGGAAUAAGAAGCACCGGCUAACUACGUGCCAGCCGCCGCGGUAAGAC